GACGAACGCUGGCGGCGCGCCUAACACAUGCGAGUCGAGCGAUGAAAUUUUAACCGAUCUCUUCGGAGAGAAGAUAAAAUGGAUUAGCGGCGGACGGGUGAGUAACACGUGAGAAACCUGCCUUUCACAAGGGGAUAGCCUCGGGAAACCGGGAUUAAUACCCUAUGACACAUUUCCUUCGCAUGGAAGAAAUGUUAAAACUCCGGUGGUGAAAGAUGGUCUCGCGCCUGAUUAGCUAGUUGGUGGGGUAACGGCCCACCAAGGCCAUGAUCAGUAACCGGCCUGAGAGGGUGAACGGUCACAUUGGAACUGAGACACGGUCCAAACUCCUACGGGAGGCAGCAGUGGGGAAUAUUGCACAAUGGAGGAAACUCUGAUGCAGCGACGCCGCGUGAGCGAUGAAGGCUUUCGAGUCGUAAAGCUCUGUCCUAUGGGAAGAUAAUGACGGUACCAUAGGAGGAAGCCCCGGCUAACUACGUG
rnacentral:rRNA from 1 species